UACGAAGGGGGCGAGCGUUGUUCGGAUUUACUGGGCGUAAAGGGCGCGUAGGCGGCGGGUCAAGUCGAGUGUGAAAGCCCCGGGCUCAACCUGGGAAUUGCGCUCGAGACUGGUCUGCUUGAGUUCGGGAGAGGAGCGUGGAAUUCCCAGUGUAGAGGUGAAAUUCGUAGAUAUUGGGAAGAACACCGGUGGCGAAGGCGGCGCUCUGGACCGAGACUGACGCUGAGGCGCGAAAGCGUGGGAAGCAAACAGG
rnacentral:rRNA from 1 species